UCCUGGGGAUAGAAGGCUCCAUUUUGAGAAGCCUAUUCUGCCUUCUAGACUGAAGGAGAAACAACAUAGAUGUGCUUGUGUGGCCAAGCCAGGCCAACUCUGAAAAGGCCAUCCUACUCUACCAGUAACGACAUGCAGUGUGGAAAGAUCAUUUUCAACCAUGAAGCGAGUGAAAAGUGUAUCUAGAAGUUUAAUGACAGACCAGAGACUUAAUGGACUAGCAAUGAUUUCCAUCCAUCGGAACAUCACUAUCAAACCAGAAAAAGUAAUUGACAAAAUGGCCGGGGAGAAGAAAAGAAGUCUGUUGCUGUCAGAAGGAAAGAAAGAAGGAAGACAAACAGCUAAUGACAGAAUCACAGAAUACAAAGGAAAUCAAGUUGAAAUUUAUCAUCUGCAUCAAUAGCAGCAAAACUUUUAAGGAAGAGGCCUAAGGAGCUAUCUUUGGAUUUGGCAAUGAGAAGGUUGUACAUUAUCUUUGUGGAGUGUAAAGAAAAAAGUCAGAUCAGAAGAGUUUAAACAGAAAUAGGGGGAGAAUCUGGCAGCAGGAAGAAGGAACAUCUUCCACGUAUUUAGAAAUAUAUGGAAGAACAGAAACUGGGUAGAGGGUGAAUCAAAUGAUUUAUUAUAUGUUUUAUUAUAUAUAGAGGGGGGAGAGUUGGGAGAAAGUGCUGUGUCUGAAAGGAAUCACAGGAAAGACACAGCUAAUAAAAUGGUGAAGGAAGAUUAGAGAGAACAUAAUGACUAGAAGUUAAAAAGAUCAGAAUCAAGGCGACACACGUAGGUGGAAUUAGGUGAGGAUAAUAGUGUAAUCAACACAUCAGACAUGGCACGAGAGAAAUAAAGAAGAGAGAAGAGAAAAGUGCUGGAGGAGGAAGAACUCAAAAAAAGAAUGUUAGUGAAACACAUAGAUUUUAUUUAAACACUGAAUGAGGUAGCAAAAUCUAGAUUGUAAUAUAGAAAUUGUUUCAAAACAAUUUUUAUGAGAAACAGAAAUUAAAUCAAAUCCUUCAAAAAUUAAUCCAAAUUCCACCAAAGCUAUGGGUGCCACUUGAUACUGAUCUAUAACAGAUUAAUUGUGUAAAUACCCAUUUUAGAAACCUUUCCUGUAUUCCUCAGAUCUAUGGUAGAUUACUUUUGUACUCAGAAAUCUUUGCGUUCUUAAAAGUUACUCAUUUUGACAUUUAUGGGACAGAAAAAGUUCUUAAAUUUCUCUUCAGGACUCCCAGAUUUGAGGUUUUAAUGCAUAAAAGUGCACUUUGUAAACAAGGGAGCCACGGGACAGUAAGAUGGAGCAGUUUGGAGUACAUAAACGUAUCCUCUCCUGACCCUGGACAAUGCCUUUUUAAAAGUAAGUGAACUGUGUACC